UAAGCGACUAAGCGUACACGGUGGAUGCCCUGGCAGUCAGAGGCGAUGAAGGACGUGCUAAUCUGCGAUAAGCGUCGGUAAGGUGAUAUGAACCGUUAUAACCGGCGAUUUCCGAAUGGGGAAACCCAGUGUGUUUCGACACACUAUCAUUAACUGAAUCCAUAGGUUAAUGAGGCGAACCGGGGGAACUGAAACAUCUAAGUACCCCGAGGAAAAGAAAUCAACCGAGAUUCCCCCAGUAGCGGCGAGCGAACGGGGAGCAGCCCAGAGCCUGAAUCAGUGUGUGUGUUAGUGGAAGCGUCUGGAAAGGCGCGCGAUACAGGGUGACAGCCCCGUACACAAAAAUGCACAUGCUGUGAGCUCGAUGAGUAGGGCGGGACACGUGGUAUCCUGUCUGAAUAUGGGGGGACCAUCCUCCAAGGCUAAAUACUCCUGACUGACCGAUAGUGAACCAGUACCGUGAGGGAAAGGCGAAAAGAACCCCGGCGAGGGGAGUGAAAAAGAACCUGAAACCGUGUACGUACAAGCAGUGGGAGCACGCUUAGGCGUGUGACUGCGUACCUUUUGUAUAAUGGGUCAGCGACUUAUAUUCUGUAGCAAGGUUAACCGAAUAGGGGAGCCGAAGGGAAACCGAGUCUUAACUGGGCGUUAAGUUGCAGGGUAUAGACCCGAAACCCGGUGAUCUAGCCAUGGGCAGGUUGAAGGUUGGGUAACACUAACUGGAGGACCGAACCGACUAAUGUUGAAAAAUUAGCGGAUGACUUGUGGCUGGGGGUGAAAGGCCAAUCAAACCGGGAGAUAGCUGGUUCUCCCCGAAAGCUAUUUAGGUAGCGCCUCGUGAAUUCAUCUCCGGGGGUAGAGCACUGUUUCGGCAAGGGGGUCAUCCCGACUUACCAACCCGAUGCAAACUGCGAAUACCGGAGAAUGUUAUCACGGGAGACACACGGCGGGUGCUAACGUCCGUCGUGAAGAGGGAAACAACCCAGACCGCCAGCUAAGGUCCCAAAGUCAUGGUUAAGUGGGAAACGAUGUGGGAAGGCCCAGACAGCCAGGAUGUUGGCUUAGAAGCAGCCAUCAUUUAAAGAAAGCGUAAUAGCUCACUGGUCGAGUCGGCCUGCGCGGAAGAUGUAACGGGGCUAAACCAUGCACCGAAGCUGCGGCAGCGACGCUGAUGCGUUGUUGGGUAGGGGAGCGUUCUGUAAGCCUGUGAAGGUGUGCUGUGAGGCAUGCUGGAGGUAUCAGAAGUGCGAAUGCUGACAUAAGUAACGAUAAAGCGGGUGAAAAGCCCGCUCGCCGGAAGACCAAGGGUUCCUGUCCAACGUUAAUCGGGGCAGGGUGAGUCGACCCCUAAGGCGAGGCCGAAAGGCGUAGUCGAUGGGAAACAGGUUAAUAUUCCUGUACUUGGUGUUACUGCGAAGGGGGGACGGAGAAGGCUAUGUUGGCCGGGCGACGGUUGUCCCGGUUUAAGCGUGUAGGCUGGUUUUCCAGGCAAAUCCGGAAAAUCAAGGCUGAGGCGUGAUGACGAGGCACUACGGUGCUGAAGCAACAAAUGCCCUGCUUCCAGGAAAAGCCUCUAAGCAUCAGGUAACAUCAAAUCGUACCCCAAACCGACACAGGUGGUCAGGUAGAGAAUACCAAGGCGCUUGAGAGAACUCGGGUGAAGGAACUAGGCAAAAUGGUGCCGUAACUUCGGGAGAAGGCACGCUGAUAUGUAGGUGAAGUCCCUCGCGGAUGGAGCUGAAAUCAGUCGAAGAUACCAGCUGGCUGCAACUGUUUAUUAAAAACACAGCACUGUGCAAACACGAAAGUGGACGUAUACGGUGUGACGCCUGCCCGGUGCCGGAAGGUUAAUUGAUGGGGUUAGCCGCAAGGCGAAGCUCUUGAUCGAAGCCCCGGUAAACGGCGGCCGUAACUAUAACGGUCCUAAGGUAGCGAAAUUCCUUGUCGGGUAAGUUCCGACCUGCACGAAUGGCGUAAUGAUGGCCAGGCUGUCUCCACCCGAGACUCAGUGAAAUUGAACUCGCUGUGAAGAUGCAGUGUACCCGCGGCAAGACGGAAAGACCCCGUGAACCUUUACUAUAGCUUGACACUGAACAUUGAGCCUUGAUGUGUAGGAUAGGUGGGAGGCUUUGAAGUGUGGACGCCAGUCUGCAUGGAGCCGACCUUGAAAUACCACCCUUUAAUGUUUGAUGUUCUAACGUUGACCCGUAAUCCGGGUUGCGGACAGUGUCUGGUGGGUAGUUUGACUGGGGCGGUCUCCUCCUAAAGAGUAACGGAGGAGCACGAAGGUUGGCUAAUCCUGGUCGGACAUCAGGAGGUUAGUGCAAUGGCAUAAGCCAGCUUGACUGCGAGCGUGACGGCGCGAGCAGGUGCGAAAGCAGGUCAUAGUGAUCCGGUGGUUCUGAAUGGAAGGGCCAUCGCUCAACGGAUAAAAGGUACUCCGGGGAUAACAGGCUGAUACCGCCCAAGAGUUCAUAUCGACGGCGGUGUUUGGCACCUCGAUGUCGGCUCAUCACAUCCUGGGGCUGAAGUAGGUCCCAAGGGUAUGGCUGUUCGCCAUUUAAAGUGGUACGCGAGCUGGGUUUAGAACGUCGUGAGACAGUUCGGUCCCUAUCUGCCGUGGGCGCUGGAGAACUGAGGGGGGCUGCUCCUAGUACGAGAGGACCGGAGUGGACGCAUCACUGGUGUUCGGGUUGUCAUGCCAAUGGCACUGCCCGGUAGCUAAAUGCGGAAGAGAUAAGUGCUGAAAGCAUCUAAGCACGAAACUUGCCCCGAGAUGAGUUCUCCCUGACUCCUUGAGAGUCCUGAAGGAACGUUGAAGACGACGACGUUGAUAGGCCGGGUGUGUAAGCGCAGCGAUGCGUUGAGCUAACCGGUACUAAUGAACCGUGAGGCUUAACCU
rnacentral:rRNA from 1 species